rnacentral:rRNA from 1 species
UACGAAGGGGGCUAGCGUUGCUCGGAUUGACUGGGCAUAAAGGGCGCGUAGGCGGUUCGUACAGUCAGACGUGAAAUUCCUGGGCUCAACCUGGGGGCUGCGUUUGAUACGUGCGGACUUGAGUGCGGAAGAGGGUCGUGGAAUUCCCAGUGUAGAGGUGAAAUUCGUAGAUAUUGGGAAGAACACCGGUGGCGAAGGCGGCGACCUGGUCCGAUACUGACGCUGAGGCGCGAAAGCGUGGGGAGCAAACAGG